rnacentral:rRNA from 1 species
GACGAACGCUGGCGGCGUGCUUAACACAUGCAAGUCGAACGGAAAGGCCCUGCUUUUGUGGGGUGCUCGAGUGGCGAACGGGUGAGUAACACGUGAGUAACCUGCCCUUGACUUUGGGAUAACUUCAGGAAACUGGGGCUAAUACCGGAUAGGAGCUCCUGCUGCAUGGUGGGGGUUGGAAAGUUUCGGCGGUUGGGGAUGGACUCGCGGCUUAUCAGCUUGUUGGUGGGGUAGUGGCUUACCCAGGCUUUGACGGGUAGCCGGCCUGAGAGGGUGACCGGCCACAUGGGGCCUGAGAUACGGCCCAGACUCCAACGGGAGGCAGUAGUGGGGAAUAUUGCACAGUGGGCGGAAGUCUGAUGCAGAGACGCCGCGUGCGUGAAGACGGCCUUCGGGUUGUAAACCGCUUUCGCCUGUGACGAAGCGGGAGUGACGGUAAUGGGUGAAGAAGCACCGGCUAACUACGUG